UGGGUGACCUGCCCUGUACACACGGAUAACAUAACCGAAAGGUAUGCUAAUACGAGAUAAUAUACUUUUAUCGCAUGGUAGAAGUAUCAAAGCUCUGGCGGUACAGGAUGGACCCCGCAUCUGAUUAGCUAGUUGGUAAGGUAACGGCUUACCAAGGCGACGAUCAGUAGCCGACCUGAGAGGGUGAUCGGCCACACGUGGGACUGAGAUACCGGCCCAGACCUCCGUAGGG
rnacentral:rRNA from 1 species